GACGUAGGGCGCGAGCGUUGUCCGGAUUUAUUGGGCGUAAAGAGCUCGUAGGCGGCUUGUCGCGUCGUCCGUGAAAACUUGGGGCUCAACUCCAAGCUUGCGGUCGAUACGGGCAGGCUCGAGUUCGGUAGGGGAGACUGGAAUUCCUGGUGUAGCGGUGAAAUGCGCAGGUAUCAGGAGGAACACCGGUGGCGAAGGCGGGUCUCUGGGCCGAUACUGACGCUGAGGAGCGAAAGCCAGGGGAGCAAACGGG
rnacentral:rRNA from 1 species